AUAGAAUCCAAUCAAGGAAUGAGAAUAGUAAUGCUUUGGCACAAAUUCAAAGCCAUUCCCUCAUAAUUCUUGAACUAUCUAAAACUCAUUCUCUAUUGUGCCUCUGUUCCCUAAAAGUAAAAUGGUAUGCUAAUAUAAACAAAACUCUACCCAAGUGAACAUUGAAUUUUAAAUGAUGUCUUUUUCACAACAAAAAUCUUUAAAACCUGGACUUGACACUCUUGGAAAGAUCACAGCAAAA
rnacentral:misc_RNA from 1 species